rnacentral:rRNA from 1 species
AUGACGGGAGAGGGCCAGGCGUGGCUUGGCGUAGCCAAGAGCCACGAGUUCGUCGGCGCCGGCCUCCGGAGCUGGCCUUGGCAGGCUGAAGCGUCGCGGCGGAGGGCGAUAAGGCGGCCGGCUUGCUCUCUUGGGGCGAGGCGCCGCGGCGCUCCGGCUCCGGCAGAGGGCCAGGCGUGGCUUGGCGUCGCCAAGAGCCACGAGGUCGUCGGCGCCGGCCUCUGCGCCAUGCUGGACAAGCUGCUGCUGCCCCCCUGCGCCGCCCAGCUUCAGUUCUCUGAAUCCUUAAUUUCGUGUGGUGAUUUGGACGGAAUUGAAGACCGCGUCCUUCUCCAACACAAAUCAAUGUCCAAUGUAAUCGAGUUGGAGUCUGUGUUCCUCUCUGACACAAAAGCAUGUACUGCCCGACACGGAUUGGACUUGGCUUCCAUAAGAAGGAAGGAUCCUCGACCGGAACGUCCAUUAGGCUGCAAUUGCAUUGCAACUUUCAGAGGAACGUCCAAUGUUGCCGGCGGAGGAAAAUCAUCCUUUGAGCCAUACUAUGCCGAGUUCGCCGGCAGAAGAACACCCGAUGAGCUGUCCAUCGCCUGA